UUUAUUGGAGAGUUUGAUCCUGGCUCAGGAUGAACGCUGGCGGCGUGCCUAAUACAUGCAAGUCGAGCGAAUGGAUUAAGAGCUUGCUCUUAUGAAGUUAGCGGCGGACGGGUGAGUAACACGUGGGUAACCUGCCCAUAAGACUGGGAUAACUCCGGGAAACCGGGGCUAAUACCGGAUAACAUUUUGAACCGCAUGGUUCGAAAUUGAAAGGCGGCUUCGGCUGU
rnacentral:rRNA from 2 species